rnacentral:rRNA from 1 species
GUAGGUGGCAAGCGUUGUCCGGAAUUAUUGGGCGUAAAGCGCGCGCAGGCGGUCCUUUAAGUCUGAUGUGAAAGCCCACGGCUCAACCGUGGAGGGUCAUUGGAAACUGGGGGACUUGAGUACAGAAGAGGAAAGCGGAAUUCCACGUGUAGCGGUGAAAUGCGUAGAGAUGUGGAGGAACACCGGUGGCGAAGGCGGCUUUCUGGUCUGUAACUGACGCUGAGGCGCGAAAGCGUGGGGAGCAAACAGGGAUUAGAUACCCUGGUAGUCCACGCCGUAAACGAUGAGUGCUAAGUGUUAGGGGGGUUUCCCGCCCCCUUAGUGCUGCAGCUAACGCAUUAAGCACUCCGCCUGGGGAGUACGGCCGCAAGGCUG